CUCGACCUCAGAUCAGGUCAGACUACCCGC
rnacentral:rRNA from 1 species